UAGCUCAAUGGGUAAAGAAUCUGCCUGCAAUGCAGAAGACCUGGGUUUGAUUCCUAG
rnacentral:tRNA from 1 species